rnacentral:lncRNA from 1 species
AACCACUCUCUCGUCUUUGUGCUAGGAGUGGUUUAAGGGCCUUUUAAGUUCGCGAAGUCGCAUUUCCGCACCUCGGCUUUCAUUUUAUCUUGUGCCUAUAGCGUCCGUGCUGGAACAGUCGCGCGACGGAUUUGCCGCCCGUUUUCAACCGGGGUUUUUUUCGGAAAGAAGCUAUGGCGGGGACACGACGGCUGGUUCACUUUUCAACUGCCGCGCCGACCUGCCGGAGGACGUGCUCGUAGGCCUGCGAGGCGCUGCACGCAACUAAGUACUCCUCGACACGCUCUGCACACCGCGAUCUGAUACACGACGGGGUUUGAGCAUCGCUCAAGGGACCGUGGGUUUCCUUGGAACGCAACUCCGCGGUCGCUGCAGGGCAGUCGGGAACCACGCCUGUUGCCAUGGGUCGGAAACUGCAAUUCGUGUGCUGAUCCUGCAAGUGGAUCGUUAAGACCUCGCCUAAACCUUCAGUUCAUACUUCCUGCCUCGUCGACGAUGACAUGCGCGACGCGUGCAUUCCGGGAGUCCCCUCGAUCCUUGGCUGCGCAGCGCCGAGUGGAGCGAGCCAGCUUUAGCGGCGGCCAGCCUUCUUCGUCCUGCAACAGGCGCCGUGCAUCCGACAGGGCUGCUUCGGCGCAGCAAAGCACGGCGCGACGCUGGGGCCAGCAGGUCGUGCGCCGGCGUGCGCUACUGAACGGAGCGGCGUCCGCAAUUGCCAGGAUGCUUCAGCACGCGUUCCAGGCUUCAGCGACAUGACGACAUCUCUUUCCGUAGUUUUAGGCCAUUCCUCUAUUUCCUCAUGCUUCUUAGUCGGCGUAGUUGCUGGGACGUCCAGAAGCACCGUCCUCUACUCCAUCAUCUGCCACUAAAAGCUCUGCGACCCAAGGUUUGUUGGCUGCAUGGAUACCGGCACCUGUGGUGAAGCAGCCAAGGAAAGUUCCCGAUCCAACUCAUCCAUCAACGCCUUGACGUCCCUGCCGACGGCUUUCAGCCCACAUUUUCUUAUGUUUUUAAACUUUUAAUAAACUUCAUUGUUCAUUGUCA